rnacentral:misc_RNA from 1 species
AAGAAAAUGAAAUGAAAAAAAAUAAAAUAAAGGGAUGUUUGGCCGCUUGAAGAGCUGGUUCAUUUAGUUAUCAACCAAUACCGAAAUGUGAAAUGAAAUUAUCUUAAACUAAUCCAAGAAAUUAACUCAGUUCGUUGUCAAACAAAAUUAGCCAAAACAGAAAAAGCUAACAAUAGCCUUACUAUUCACAGCUGAGUAGUUUUGAUUAGAGAUUGAUGGUAUGAGAUGUAAGCUCCAUAUGCAACAUUAAAUUUAGCAUGUACAUACACUAAAA